AGAACGAACGCUGGCGGCAUGCCUAACACAUGCAAGUCGAACGAACCCUUCGGGGUUAGUGGCGCACGGGUGCGUAACGCGUGGGAACCUACCAUCAGGUUCGGAAUAACAGUUAGAAAUGACUGCUAAUACCGGAUAAUGUCUUCGGACCAAAGAUUUAUCGCCUUUUGAUGGGCCCGCGUUGGAUUAGCUAGUUGGUAAGGUAAAAGCUUACCAAGGCGACGAUCCAUAGCUGGUCUGAGAGGAUGAUCAGCCACACUGGGACUGAGACACGGCCCAGACUCCUACGGGAGGCAGCAGUGGGGGAAUAUUGGACAAUGGGCGAAAGCCUGAUCCAGCAAUGCCGCGUGAGUGAUGAAGGCCUUAGGGUUGUAAAGCUCUUUUACUGGGGAUGAUAAUGACAGUACCCAGAGAAUAAGCUCCGGCUAACUCCGUGCCAGCAGCCGC
rnacentral:rRNA from 1 species